ensembl:rRNA 5S_rRNA 5S ribosomal RNA
UUUAACAGCCAUACCACCAUCAAAAUGCUCGAUCUCAUGUGAUUUCGGAAGCUAAACAGCGUUGGGCUUGGUUAGUUUUUGGAUGGGAGACCACUGGAAAAACCAGGUGCUGUAAGGG